rnacentral:rRNA from 1 species
UACGAACUGUGCGAACGUUAUUCGGAAUCACUGGGCUUACAGGGUGCGUAGGCGGCCUUCCAAGUCAGGUGUGAAAUCCCCCAGCUCAACUGGGGAACAGCGCUUGAAACUGGUUGGCUUGAGUCAGCUAGAGGUGCACGGAACUUCCGGUGGAGCGGUGAAAUGUGUUGAUAUCGGAAGGAACACCAGAGGCGAAAGCGGUGCACUGGAUCUGGUCUGACGCUGAGGCACGAAAGCCAGGGGAGCGAACGGG